ACGUAGGGGGCGAGCGUUGUCCGGAAUGACUGGGCGUAAAGGGCGCGUAGACGGUUUUUUAAGUCUGGAGUGAAAGUCCUGCUUUCAAGGUGGGAAUUGCUUUGGAGACUGGAAGACUUGAGUGCGGAAGAGGUAAGUGGAAUUCCCAGUGUGGCGGUGAACUGCGUAGAGAUUGGGAAGAAGGCGAGAGGGGGAGGGGAGCGAAUAGGACGAGACUGACUUUUAGGCGGGUAAGCGUGGUGAGAGAAGAG
rnacentral:rRNA from 1 species